UGGGGAAUAUUGGACAAUGGGCGCAAGCCUGAUCCAGCCAUGCCGCAUGAGUGAUGAAGGCCCUAGGGUUGUAAAGCUCUUUCACCGGUGAAGAUAAUGACGGUAACCGGAGAAGAAGCCCCGGCUAACUUCGUGCCAGCAGCCGCGGUAAUACGAAGGGGGCUAGCGUUGUUCGGAUUUACUGGGCGUAAAGCGCACGUAGGCGGACUUUUAAGUCAGGGGUGAAAUCCCGGGGCUCAACCCCGGAACUGCCUUUGAUACUGGAAGUCUUGAGUAUGGUAGAGGUGAGUGGAAUUCCGGGUGUAGAGGUGAAAUUCGUAGAUAUUCGGAGGAACACCAGUGGAGAAGGCGGCUCACUGGACCAUUACUGACGCUGAGGUGCGAAAGCGUGGGGAGCAAACAGG
rnacentral:rRNA from 1 species